GACGAACGCUGGCGGCGUGCUUAACACAUGCAAAUCGAACGGAAAGGCCCUGCUUUUGUGGGGUGCUCGAGUGGCGAACGGGUGAGUAACACGUGAGUAACCUGCCCUUGACUUUGGGAUAACUUCAGGAAACUGGGGCUAAUACCGGAUAGGAGCUCCUGCUGCAUGGUGGGGGUUGGAAAGUUUCGGCGGUUGGGGAUGGACUCGCGGCUUAUCAGCUUGUUGGUGGGGUAGUGGCUUACCAAGGCUUUGACGGGUAGCCGGCCUGAGAGGGUGACCGGCCACAUUGGGACUGAGAUACGCCCCAGCCUCCUACGGGAGGCAGCAGGGGGAAAUAUUGCACAAUGGGCGGAAGCCGGAUGCAGCAACGCCGGGUGCGGAAUGACGUCCUUCGGGUUGUAAACCGCUUUCGCCUGUGACGAAGCUGGAGUGACGGUAAUGGAUAAAGAAGCACCGGCUAACUACGUG
rnacentral:rRNA from 1 species